rnacentral:rRNA from 1 species
AGAGUUUGAUCCUGGCUCAGGACGAACGCUGGCGGCGUGCUUAACACAUGCAAGUCGAACGGAAAGGUCUCUUCGGAGAUACUCGAGUGGCGAACGGGUGAGUAACACGUGGGUGAUCUGCCCUGCACUUCGGGAUAAGCCUGGGAAACUGGGUCUAAUACCGAAUAGGACCACGGGAUUCAUGUCCUGUGGUGGAAAGCGCUUUAGCGGUGUGGGAUGAGCCCGCGGCCUAUCAGCUUGUUGGUGGGGUGACGGCCUACCAAGGCGACGACGGGUAGCCGGCCUGAGAGGGUGUCCGGCCACACUGGGACUGAGAUACGGCCCAGACUCCUACGGGAGGCAGCAGUGGGGAAUAUUGCACAAUGGGCGCAAGCCUGAUGCAGCGACGCCGCGUGGGGGAUGACGGCCUUCGGGUUGUAAACCUCUUUCACCAUCGACGAAGGUCCGGGAUUUCUCGGAUUGACGGUAGGUGGAGAAGAAGCACCGGCCAACUACGUGCCAGCAGCCGCGGUAAUACGUAGGGUGCGAGCGUUGUCCGGAAUUACUGGGCGUAAAGAGCUCGUAGGUGGUUUGUCGCGUUGUUCGUGAAAUCUCACGGCUUAACUGUGAGCGUGCGGGCGAUACGGGCAGACUAGAGUACUGCAGGGGAGACUGGAAUUCCUGGUGUAGCGGUGGAAUGCGCAGAUAUCAGGAGGAACACCGGUGGCGAAGGCGGGUCUCUGGGCAGUAACUGACGCUGAGGAGCGAAAGCGUGGGGAGCGAACAGGAUUAGAUACCCUGGUAGU